CUGGACCCCUUGCCUGGCUCCUCAAGGAAAAGCUGGGUGCCUCUGGGACUGAAUACCUCUACUUGGAAUUGGAAUUGUUAACUCAUUCUCUACCCCACUUGAUUAUCAGUUGAAGAGGACGGGAAGAGAAUGAUAUUAUUAGUAUUUCUGAUAUAACAUAUGACCUUCUUUGGUCCUAAAGGAGAAACUGAUGAUUUCCACCAGCAAUGCUAAUAUACCAACAGCGAUACCAGUAGCAUUUUAGUUCACGGCAUUCGGAGCUGCUGUGUGCUUCCUCUUGGCCACAGGAAAGCAAACAAAGCCUGGGAAGACUCUACUGUAGGCCCACAGAUGGAGUGACCCAAGGGAGCCUAUGUCAGUGGUGACCGAUGGCCCUGGACAGGCUCCUGAAGUAGAUCUGGCAUCCAAAGAGGCAAAAGAGCCUACUGAUGAGAGUCUGCAGGAGUGAGCACACUCAUAUUCCACCUAGUCAAGCUGACCCUGCAACCCGAUAGAGAGUAUAGAAAACAGUGUCAAUCAGGCCUAACAAGACCCUGUGGCCCCAGCAUUUCCUCCCUGCAUGGGAGGAACCACACCGAUGUGAAGCCAAAGACGUCCCUUCCUUGAGGACUAAGCCCAAAGCGUUGAGAGGGUUGGUUGAUAAACUUUCCACAGACAACCCCUCAGUCAUGACCCCAAAUGUGAGCCUUUGUAGAGGGGGCACCAGGUUGCCAACUCACUCCCUUAGGUCUGCUUGGUGCUGGCUAGAUUCUUCCAUCAGGCAGCUGGAGCGUGAAAAAAUAAAA